rnacentral:rRNA from 1 species
AUGGAUGUGGAGAAAGCUGCCUCCAAGGGGCAUGGCUUCUUCGGCCUGUUUGAUUGGGGCAAGAGCAAGAAGUCCAAGCGGCGGCUCUUCACCGGAGGCGGGGGAUAUUCACCGUCGCAGGGUAAUUCCGUAGAUGGGAAGGAAGUUGACGGCAGCAUGCCGAGUACGCCGUCCAACUCGAUCCUCGAAGAUGGGAUGAGUAUGAAGGAAAGCAGCGAGCAUAGCUGUUCAUCCUCUGUAAUCGACGACGAAGCUUGUGCGAGGAGGGGACCCACUGUCGUGGCGAGGCUUAUGGGUUUGGAUUCCAUGCCCGCGGCAAGCUCAUCUGGACCCUACCCGGCCCCUUUUACCGGGCAACAUACCUUCCAAGCUAUUGCCCAUGAUGAGUUGAUUGGCAGAAGCUAUGUUGGCCUUUCUAGCCCCCAUAAGAUGCCGAGUAGUCCUAUUGACCGGUUUAGAAUGGAAGCCCUGCCUCCGAGGUUUGCCAAAAGGACACUUUCAGUUGCACAGCAUAAGUUGUUCUCCCCAGUGAAGAAUCCUAAUCAUGUAUCAAGCAGAAAUGCUGCUGAUAUCAUGGAGGCGGCAUCUAGGAUUAUUGGGCCUGGAGCUGAGAAUAUUAGCUCUUACAGAGUCCGUGAUGCUGGGUACUCAAAUGAUGUGCGUGCCUUCAGCCCAACAGAGAUUGUAAGGGUCCAGCAAAUGUCCCAAGCGGCAAGAAGGCGUGAUGGCUCUGCAUCUUCUAAGCCACCGAGUGGAAGAUCGUUGGAUGGAAGUUUGGUAACUUCAGAGACAUCCUCUUCUGCCAGGUUCUCACAGUCAAAUGGUGGUGCUCCAGUUGCUCCAAGGGUCAAGGCUGUCAGUCGACCAUCGUCAGAUUUUAGAGCUACAAAUGGCCAAGGGAGAGAAGGUGUAAGCAGAAGCAGUAGGAAACCCCCAACUCGUACGGAUCCUGUACAUAACAUGGUUGAGAGAAACGGGUCCAGUCAACAAAGACAAAAGAUCAGUAGCAGAGUGGGCAUGGCAAGUUCUUCCAACGUGCUUGUGCAAAAUAACACAAAGCAGAAUGCCAUGGGUGUUGAGCGCAAGCUGAAUCCCAAGUCAGCAACACACAGUCAACAACAAAGGAACAUGCACCCACCAAAUGCUGCUCCCAGAAAGGCUGGUGUCACAAGCACCCGCUCUGAAAACAGUAUGAAAGGCAACAGAAAGGGGGAACUGCAGCCAACCAACUAUGCAAACAGAAGACCAAACUCUACAGCCAAAACAAUCCCCAAGCCGAGAAGAUUACCAGAUGAGGGGAUGCGCUCAAAGAAAAACCAGCCAAGUGAUAAAGUUCUCACUGAAAGAAGCCCAAGGCGUGUUCGGCACAAUAUUGUGAUAGAGGAGCAAUCAUCUUUCACCACAAACAAAAAGAAAAUCAGCACUGAGAUUGUUUCGUUCACAUUUACCUCACCAGUUGACAAAUCAUUACAUGGUUCUCAGUUUCCCCAUUCAGUGGAAAAACGGUCGAUAGAGAACUGGAACUCCUUGUCAACUUCAAGCAAUACAUCAAACACUGAAUCAGAUACCAUAGAUGGUGAUUAUUUGAGACUUCUUCUUGAGCAGAAGUUGAGAGAAUUGACUUCUGGGGUGAGAUCACCCUAUUCUAAGCCAGCCAAUGGUGUUCGAAUAUACGCCCCCUCACCAGGUUUGGAUGAUACAGCAUCAGCCUGUGACACAUCCAGCAUUGCAUCUACUGAUUAUGAUAGGGACUCCAUACAGUCUUCAAAGGAUGGAAAAGACAAAUUCCCCCGGACAGAUCUUGUAUUAAAAGAUGAUCAGUCAUCUCAAUCUGUGAAGUAUGAUAAUGGUUUCAUUGAUCAAGUGGAGUUAGAGCAUCUUCACCUAAGCCCCCAUUCUACAUGGGAAGCUUCUCUUUCAACAGAAACCUGCAGCUCUGCAGAGAGCCGAACAAAUGCAAAUGAAUCAAGGUUAUUUAGUUCAACAGAAGGAGCAGCAACAUCUGGUUCGGCACACUAUGGUAGGGUCCUAGAAGUGGAGGCUUUAUCAGAAUAUUCUGAUACAGCCUCAUCAAUCACAGCGACUUUAGCCGAAACAACACAUCCAUCAGAAAGCAGCAGCUCAUGUCGUAUGGAGAUAAAGUUCUUAAGAGAAAUACUGAAUGCUAUUUCUGUCAGAGAUAAUGCUUGCUCUUACUUCGAGCGAUUUGAUAGCUCAAAUAUCCUGGAUCCACAUCUGUUUGAAGAACUAAAUGGCAAUUUUAGGCUGCCAGUGGGUGAAGAAGAGGGAAAAUCUUUCGGAAUGAUUCGGAGGCUGCUCUUUGACUGUGUGAAUGAAGUAUUAAGCGUGAAAUGCACAUACUACUUCAAUGCUGGUUACAGCUCAUGGUUUACGGGGAUGGCAGUUCUGCAGAAGCUCUCGCCGGAAGAAAUCUACCAAGAGAUGACCAGUCUGAAGGUUGCCGAGGAGUGGAUGGUGGAUGAACUCGUGUACAAAGAAAUGAGUGGCCCUCUCGGGAGCUGGGUCGACUUCAAGACGGAGUCACAUGAAGCUGCAAAAGACAUAACAGCAGAGUUGCUAGAAUCCUUGAUCGAUGAAAUGGUUGCUGACCUUCUAUAUUGGUAG